rnacentral:tRNA from 1 species
GGAUUGUAGCUCAGCGGUAGAGCGCUCGCCUAGCACCGGGGAGGCCCUGGGUUCAAUCCUCAGCACCA